GGAUAGAUGGCAGAGUGGUCUAUUGCGGCGGUCUUGAAAACCGUUGAGUGUAAAAAACUCCGGGGGUUCGAAUCCCUCUCUAUCCGCUA
rnacentral:tRNA from 15 species